UACGGAGGGUGCAAGCGUUAAUCGGAAUUACUGGGCGUAAAGCGCACGCAGGCGGUCUUUUAAGUCAGAUGUGAAAGCCCCGAGCUUAACUUGGGAAUUGCAUUUGAUACUGGUUGUCUAGAGUCCUGUAGAGGGGGGUAGAAUUCCAUGUGUAGCGGUGAAAUGCGUAGAGAUGUGGAGGAAUACCGGAGGCGAAGGCGGCCCCCUGGACAAGUACUGACGCUCAGGUGCGAAAGCGUGGGGAGCAAACAGG
rnacentral:rRNA from 1 species